AGGGGCUGGGCGGGCUGGGACCGAGGAUUCUGCACCCUCGCCCCCCCGCUUUUUCUCACCUUCCUCCUCUUUGAUCGCCCUCAAGCUUUCUCUUAUUCUGCCUCCCCCGCCCUCGGCUUUUUCCUUUGGAGGGAGAUGCCACCGUCUGAUACCGGCGAGGGGAGGGAGAGGAAGAUGAGAGUAUUGCCAUUGCGGAUACUCGGAGAAAUUUCUCGGGCGGCUGUCCACUGGAAAGCUCCGUGAGGGGCGAAAGAAGAGAGGAUGAGGGGACACUGUUCCUAAGAGACUUGUAUUUCUGGCACCUUUAUAAGUCCUGAAUCCAGGAAACGGUUGUGCCUGUGGAAUGUGUUUUUUUUUUUCUACCAUAGGUUUAAAAAACCUUGUAUGAAAGUUUCCUUCUGUCUUUCAUUCUUUACCUGAUGAUAAUUUUAGGGCGGGGUGAGUGUUGUGUCACAUUCUUUAUUUUUAAUAUUUUUCUCCAUCUCACUAAGUAGUUUAGGGCCUUAAUAAGUUGCAGAGGCUAGUCUGGAACUCGCGAUUCUCCUGCUGCAGUCUCUCAAGUCACUGGAGAGACCAAGCAGGGGCCGGCUGGUGGUGGGGCAUGGGUCAUUGCACCCGGAUACUCUAUAGUUGUUUUUUUUUUUUUUUUUUCAUUUUUGUUACACUAGGAAUUGAAUCCGGGACGGUUCAUCACUGAGCCACAUCUCCAGUCCUUUUUUAUUUUUUAUUUUAAGACCGGGUCCUCCUCUAAGUUGCUGAGACUGGCUUUGCACUGGAGUUCCUCCUGCCUCAGCCUUCCUGGUCUCUAGGAUUACAGGCAUGCAGCCUCCGCAGCGCCCAGCUCACUAUCAUAUUCUGGAAGGGUGACCGGAAGGACUGCAGUCCAUACUAAUCUCAUUAUGGGAUUGGACCCAGGGCCUGUGCAUGCUAGGCAAGCAUUCUACCAACUGAGCUUUAUCCCCAGCCCCUAGUUUUAACUUCUUGCUGAGGUAAUUCUUGUUAAUCGAUUUUUAUUUAUUAGUUUAUUACAAAAGUAAUAUUUGCCCAUGUGAAAAUUACAAUUUGAAAAUAUUUCCUUCUUCAUGUUUCCCCUAUGUGUAUUUUUUCUAAAUUAAAGUGUUUUUUUUUCCCCCCUUCCAUACAGAGGAUUGAAGUUGGGGCCUUGUGCAUGUUAGGCAAGUGUUCUGUCACUGAGCUAGGCUCUUAUUCUCUAAAUUAAAAGCAUUUAAUUGUAACCUUAGGAAAAGAUGGAAAUGUGAUUAUGCUGUGGUUUAAAGUUUUAAUGUUUUUUUAAAAGAUAUCAAGUUCACAAUUUAUUCAAAUGUAAUAUUAUAACUUAUUAAAGUGUAUACUGAG